rnacentral:rRNA from 1 species
AGAGCGCAAAAAGGAGAUUUCAGUGAGCAAGAAGUUGGUAUUUUUUUAAGCGUGUCGGGGAUAGGCUUCUCUAAAAUGAGUAAAGGAAUUUUAAAAGACUUGUCCGAGAACCUAUAAUUUUUUUUUUUAUUUCAAAAAAAAAGUUGCCUGCCCUGUGACUAUAUGUUCAACGGCCGCGGUAUUUUGACCGUGCGAAGGUAGCGUAAUCACUUGUCUUUUAAAUGAGGACCUGUAUGAAUGGCACAACGAGGGCUCAACUGUCUCCUUUUUCCAGUCAAUGAAAUUGAUCUUCCCGUGCAGAAGCGAGAAUACCAACAUAAGACGAGAAGACCCUAUGGAGCUUUAGAUAAUAAGGCAGACUGUGUUAAACACCCUUAUAAAAAAGACUAAACUAGCUGAACACUGCCCGAAUGUCCUUGGUUGGGGCGACCGCGGCGAAACAAAAAACCCCCGUGUGGAAAGAGGGAACAUACCCUCCAAAUCAAGAGCUCCCACUCUAAUAAACAGAAUAUCUGACCUAUAAGAUCCGGCAAUGCCGAUUAACGGACCAAGUUACCCUAGGGAAACAGCGCAAUCCCCUUCCAGAGUGCAGAUCGACAAGGGGGUUACGACCUAAUGAG